CCUACGGGUGGCUGCAGUGAGGAAUAUUGGUCAAUGGGCGCGAGCCUGAACCAGCCAAGUAGCGUGAAGGAUGACUGCCCUACGGGUUGUAAACUUCUUUUAUAAAGGAAUAAAGUGCGGCACGUGUGCCUUUUUGUAUGUACUUUAUGAAUAAGGAUCGGCUAACUCCGUGCCAGCAGCCGCGGUAAUACGGAGGGUCCGAGCGUUAUCCGGAUUUAUUGGGUUUAAAGGGUGCGUAGAGGGGUUGUUAAGUCAGUUGUGAAAGUUUACGGCUCAACCGUAAAACUGCAAUUGAGACUGGCAGCCUUGAGUACAGGAGAGGUAGGCGGAAUUCGUGGUGUAGCGGUGAAAUGCUUAGAUAUCACGAAGAACUCCGAUUGCGAAGGCAGCUUACUAAACUGCAACUGACAUUGAUGCUCGAAAGUGUGGGUAUCAAACAGGAUUAGAUACCCGAGUAGUC
rnacentral:rRNA from 1 species